GACGAGGGGUCCAAGCGUUGUUCGGAAUCAUUGGGCGUAAAGCGGGUGUAGGUGGCUUUGUAAGUCAGGAGUGAAAUCCCCGAGCUUAACUUGGGAAGUGCUUUUGAAACUGCAGGGCUUGAGUGUGGGAGAGGAUCGUGGAAUUCCAGGUGUAGUGGUGAAAUACGUAAGAUAUCUGGAGGAACACCGGUGGCGAAGGCGGCGAUCUGGCCCAACACUGACACUGAGACCCGAAAGCGUGGGGAUCGAAACAGGA
rnacentral:rRNA from 1 species